AAUGCUUGCCACACUCAUCAGGUGAAUUUGUUUUUUAAAAUUCACCUGAUGAGUGUGGCAAGCAUU